rnacentral:rRNA from 1 species
UAGGGAAUCUUCCACAAUGGACGCAAGUCUGAUGGAGCAACGCCGCGUGAGUGAAAAAGGGUUUCGGCUCGUAAAGCUCUGUUGUUAAAGAAGAACGUGGGUAAGAGUAACUGUUUACCCAGUGACGGUAUUUAACCAGAAAGCCACGGCUAACUACGUGCCAA